rnacentral:rRNA from 1 species
GACGAACGCUGGCGGCGUGCCUAAUACAUGCAAGUCGAGCGCAGGAAACCGUCUGAACCCUUCGGGGGGACGACGGCGGAAUGAGCGGCGGACGGGUGAGUAACACGUAAAGAACCUGCCCACGGGUCUGGGAUAACCACGAGAAAUCGGGGCUAAUACCGGACGGGUCAUCGGACCGCAUGGUCCGAGGAUGAAAGGCGCUCCGGCGUCGCCCGUGGAUGGCUUUGCGGUGCAUUAGCUAGUUGGUGGGGUAACGGCCCACCAAGGCGACGAUGCAUAGCCGCCCUGAGAGGGUGAUCGGCCACACUGGGACUGAGACACGGCCCAGACUCCUACGGGAGGCAGCAGUAGGGAAUCUUCCACAAGGGACGAAAGUCGGAUGGAGCAACGCCGCGUGAACGAUGAAGGCCCUCGGGUCGUAAAGUUCUGUUGUAAGGGAAGAACAAGUGCCGCAGGCAAUGGCGGCACCUUGACGGUACCUUGCGAGAAAGCCACGGCUAACUACGUGCCAGCAGCCGCCGUAACAC